CAAUGGCUGCGGUGAGGUUGGAAGAAUGGAGAUGGGGAGCUGUGGGGUGUAUGAGUGUAACACGGCGCCCUGCCUGGGUAGGGGGAUUCGGGUGGCCCUCUGAACUGCCAACGGAACGACGUGUGGGAGGUGCACGGCAUCGUCAGCUUCGGCUCUGCCUGGGGCUGCAACGUCGCCAAGAAACCAACAGUCUUCACAAGGGUGUCCGCCUACAUCGACUGGAUCAACGAGAAAAUCGGUGAGAACUGAGGAUGCGCAGAGCAGAUCACGUAUGGUGGUGUGCAAUAAAGGGAAACAACCGGC